CCUACGGGUGGCAGCAGUAGGGAAUAUUGCUCAAUGGGGGAAACCCUGAAGCAGCAACGCCGCGUGGAGGAUGAAGGUUUUCGGAUUGUAAACUCCUUUUGUUAGAGAGGAUAAUGACGGUAUCUCACGAAUAAGCACCGGCUAACUCCGUGCCAGCAGCCGCGGUACUACGGCGGGUGCAAGCGUUACUCGGAAUCACUGGGCGUAGAGAGCGCGGAGGCGGGAUAGCAAGUCAGAUGUGAAAUACUAUGGCUUAACCAUAGAACUGCCUUUGAAACUGUUAUUCUAGAGUAUGGGAGAGGUAGGUGGAAUUCUUGGUGUAGGGGUAAAAUCCGUAGAGAGCAAGAGGAAUACUCAUUGCGAAGGCGACCUGCGAGAACAUAACUGACGCUGAUGCGCGAAAGCGUGGGGAGCAAACAGGAUUAGAUACCCCAGUAGUC
rnacentral:rRNA from 1 species